UGACAGAAUUCUUAUAGAGCCUCUACAAUAUGAGGUCAUAAUGAACAGGACAUAAUACUAUAUUACACUGUAUUUUAUUCCACAAACAAAGAAUCAGAAUAAUGUGACCUAUUUUCAAAAGAAAAAUAUCAAUGUAGGCCUAUCUCCAAUGACCCAGAUUUCGGAAUGAGCAAACAAGGACUUUUAAGCAACUCUUGUAACAAUGCUCAUGAGGCCAGAAGCCUACUUUGAGAAUUGUGGAAUUUCUCUGCUACAGAGAUCUAUAAAUCCUGGUUGACCACAAAGACAUGUGAAACAUCAAGGAAGUGCUCCAGGACUCAGAUCUCCCACGGUUCAUUCAUUUCUGUGCCCACAUCCCUUUAACUGGUGGUGAGCAUUUCUUUGAUCUUGGAAAAGACUGAAUAGUCACUUUUAGUCUUCAUGUAAAAUGCAUUGUCAUUCAAGUCAAUAAAAUGGAUU